rnacentral:rRNA from 1 species
GACGAACGCUGGCGGCGUGCUUAACACAUGCAAGUCGAGCGGUAAGGCCCUUUCGGGGGUACACGAGCGGCGAACGGGUGAGUAACACGUGGGUGACCUGCCCUCAGCUCUGGGAUAAGCCUGGGAAACCGGGUCUAAUACUGGAUAUGACUCCAUGACGCAUGUUGUGGGGUGGAAAGCCUUGUGCGGCUGAGGAUGGGCCCGCGGCCUAUCAGCUUGUUGGUGGGGUGANGGCCUACCAGGGCGACGACGGGUAGCCGGCCUGAGAGGGCGACCGGCCACACUGGGACUGAGACACGGGCCCAGACUCCUACGGGAGGCAGCAGUGGGGAAUCUUGCGCAAUGGGCGAAAGCCUGACGCAGCGACGCCGCGUGAGGGAUGACGGCCUCGGUUGUAACGUAC